rnacentral:rRNA from 1 species
AUGGCGAGGUCUGGUGGCCGGUGGGUCUGGGUCGUUGCGGCGGCGAUAGUGGUGCUGCUGCUGACCACGGUGUCAUCAGCAUCAGCAGCAGCAGGUGUCGAUUCAGCAACGACGGCACCGGCCAAGGUGUGGCGGCUCCCUCCAAGAUUCCCUACAGAGCCCUUCCCGGUGCCAAAGCCCCCUUCUUCGUCGUCGUGGAAGGCGGUGAAAUCAUCUCUUCCUCCUCGCCACCGCCUCCCCACGGAGCCGCCGUCGGGAAAGCGUACAAAACACAUGUAA